UACGAAGGGGGCUAGCGUUGCUCGGAAUCACUGGGCGUAAAGGGCGCGUAGGCGGCCUUCUAAGUCGAACGUGAAAUCCCCGGGCUCAACCCGGGAACUGCGUCCGAUACUGGAAGGCUUGAAUCCGGGAGAGGGAUGCGGAAUUCCAGGUGUAGCGGUGAAAUGCGUAGAUAUUGGGAGGAACACCAGCGGCGAAGGCGGCUCACUGGACCGGAACUGACGCUGAGGCGCGAAAGCGUGGGGAGCAACAGG
rnacentral:rRNA from 1 species